GACGAACGCUGGCGGCGUGCUUAACACAUGCAAGUCGAACGGGCCUUGUCCCCUUUUUUUUUGGGGGUGGGGUUAGUGGCGAACGGGUGAGUAACACGUGAGUAACCUGCCCCUCACUUCUGGAUAACCGCUUGAAAGGGUGGCUAAUACGGGGUGUUCUGGCCUGCUCGCAUGGGUGGGUUUGGAAAGAUUCGACCGGUUUUGGUUGUUUUGGUGGGGGAUGGGCUCGCGGCCUAUCAGCUUGUUGGUGGGGUGAUGGCCUGCCAAGGCGUUGACGGGUAGCCGGCCUGGGAGGGUGGGCGGUCACACUGGGACUGAGACACGGCCCAGACUCCUACGGGAGGCAGCAGUGGGGAAUAUUGCACAAUGGGCGCAAGCCUGAUGCAGCGACGCCGCGUGAGGGAUGGAGGCCUUCGGGUUGGGAACCUCUUUCGCCAGUGAAGAAGGUCCUGCUCUUUGUGGUGGGGUUGACGGUAGCUGGGUUAAUGAAGCGCCGGCUAACUACGUG
rnacentral:rRNA from 1 species